AAGACCAACAGUAGCAAUCAUGAGAGGUUGAAGCCAUGUGGGAUUACUAGAGUACAGCGGUACCCACACGCUCUCGUUAUGAAUGCCGGGCCGUGGUGAGCCUUUAAGGGUGCUGCCAUUCUUCAUCGAGUCACACUCGAUCAUCAGGCUGUUCCCGGAUAUAAGAAGUGACCCGUACCAGACGGAGACCCGACCCCGUCGCUCCCUGGUCUCAGCGCCAGUGUCUGUCCACUGUGUCGGCCCCUCCAACUCUGCUCCAUAUCUUCCGGCCUGGCCUGUGACCCAGCCACCCCUCGCCUCCACCGCCCCGUGUCUCAGCACUGGAGCCACUCCGUUUCCACAGCUUGCUUCACCUAGCUCUGCCCC
rnacentral:lncRNA from 1 species